rnacentral:rRNA from 1 species
GACCAGACUCCUACGGGAGGCAGCAGUGGGGAAUAUUGCACAAUGGGGGAAACCCUGAUGCAGCGACGCCGCGUGAGUGAAGAAGUAUUUCGGUAUGUAAAGCUCCAUCAGCAGGGAAGAAAAUGACGGUACCUGACUAAGAAGCCCCGGCUAACUACGUGCCAGCAGCCGCGGUAAUACGUAGGGGGCAAGCGUUAUCCGGAUUUACUGGGUGUAAAGGGAGCGUAGACGGCAUGGCAAGUCAGAUGUGAAAGCCCGGGGCUCAACCCCGGGACUGCAUUUGAAACUGUCAGGCUGGAGUGCAGGAGAGGUAAGUGGAAUUCCUAGUGUAGCGGUGAAAUGCGUAGAUAUUAGGAGGAACACCAGUGGCGAAGGCGGCUUACUGGACUGUAACUGACGUUGAGGCUCGAAAGCGUGGGGAGCAAACAGGAUUAGAUACCCCCGUA